CAGGUAGGACUACCCGCUGAACUUAAGCAUAUCAAUAAGCGGAGGAAAAGAAACUAACAAGGAUUCCCCUAGUAACGGCGAGUGAAGCGGGAAAAGCUCAAAUUUGAAAUCUGGUAGCCUCAGGUUGCCCGAGUUGUAAUCUAUAGAAACGUUUUCCGCGUCGGCCCAUGUACAAGUCUCCUGGAAUGGAGCGUCAUAGAGGGUGAGAAUCCCGUCCUUGACAUGGACUACCGAUGCUUUGUGAUACGUUUUCAAAGAGUCGAGUUGUUUGGGAAUGCAGCUCAAAAUGGGUGGUAAAUUCCAUCUAAAGCUAAAUAUUGGCGAGAGACCGAUAGCGAACAAGUACCGUGAGGGAAAGAUGAAAAGCACUUUGGAAAGAGAGUUAAACAGUAUGUGAAAUUGUUGAAAGGGAAACGAUUGAAGUCAGUCAUGUCUAUUGGACUCAGCCGGUUCUGCCGGUGUACUUCCUUUAGAUGGGGUCAACAUCAGUUUUGACCGCUGGAAAAGGGCAGGAGGAAUGUAGCACUCUCGGGUGAACUUAUAGCCUUCUGUCGUAUACAGUGGUUGGGACUGAGGAACGCAGCAUGCCUUUAUGGCCGGGGUUCGCCCACGUACAUGCUUAGGAUGUUGACAUAAUGGCUUUAAACGACCCGUCUUGAAACACGGACCAAGGAGUCUAACAUAUCUGCGAGUAUUUGGGUGUCAAACCCGAGUGCGCAAUGAAAGUGAAUGUAGGAGGGAUCCGC
rnacentral:rRNA from 1 species